rnacentral:rRNA from 1 species
GCCGUAGGGCGCGAGCGUUGUCCGGAUUUAUUGGGCGUAAAGAGCUCGUAGGCGGCUUGUCGCGUCGACUGUGAAAACCCGCGGCUCAACCGUGUGGUCUGCAGUCGAUACGGGCAGGCUAGAGUUCGGUAGGGGAGACUGGAAUUCCUGGUGUAGCGGUGAAGUGCGCAGAUAUCAGGAGGAACACCGGUGGCGAAGGCGGGUCUCUGGGCCGAUACUGACGCUGAGGAGCGAAAGCGUGGGGAGCGAACAGG